AAGAAAAAUUUAGUCGACCGAAAUAAACUUAUGCUGAUUCUUUAGAUCACGUGCUUUCGAUUACGUAUCCCGAAAUUCAAAAAGAUUAUUCGAUUGAAAUUACAAUUUAGACGUUUUUCGAAUAGUCAAAAUGCCUAGAAAAGUAAAGAAACCAAAAACGAAACUUAGAAAAGUGGUGCGUACUUGUUGGCCCAUUCACAAAAUAUUCAUAAUUUGUUUCAUACCAUUGAUUUUAACAAUCAUUAUAAUUGUAGGGAACAAUUCAUUGGAAUCGAGAGGAUUAUAUAUUUUCUUUGUAAUGGAAAUUUUUUGGAUAUUAGAAUUGCUUCCUCUUGCUGUAACUUCAUUUUUUCCAAUUGUAUUAUUCCCGUUGCUCGGAAUAUCGAACUCCGAUAGGAUAUCUCGCAUAUAUAUGUCGCCAUCGAGCGUCUUGUAUUUUGUAUCCUCACUGUUUGCUGCUGGAAUCGAUCAUUGUAAUUUAUACAAACGAAUAGCAUUGACUGUGUUGUUUUAUAUGAAGAUAGAUAUAUCGAGGACAAUGUUAACACUUAUGACGACAACAGCAGUUAUUUCGAUGUGGAUUAGUAAUACCGUGACUACGACCACAAUUGUACCGAUUGUCCACGCUAUUAUUGUAGAACUUGCUAGAGCUAAAAUGUUAUGUGAUGGUAAGAAAAUGAAUUAUGCUCCGAAGAAGAAAUUUAUUAAAAAGGAAGACAGAAAGAAAAACGUAGAUAUUACAGAAAUUAAUGGAAACGAUAAUAAAGAUGAAUCAGGAAUUGAGAAUAAAAGUGAAUAUAAUAGCGAAGAUAAUAAAAUCGAAUACGACGAUAAUGUUAAGGAAUCGGAUAAUAAAGCAGUUAAUGAAGAUAAUGUUUAUUUCAAUAAUGAAGAAAUAUUAAAACAAGGAGAUGAACGUGAAGAAAUCAAAGAGAUUGAACGAGAAAAUGAAAAUGUCGAAUACGAAUUAAGCGAAGAAUCGUUGUUUGCUGUAGAAAUUGAAAAAUUGGACGAAGAUCUGCAGAGAAUGCGAAAAAUACUUAUGCUAAGUAUUUCCAUUGCAGCAAUUUGUGGAGGAACAAGCACUUUAAUCGGCACUUCAACAAAUACGAUUCUUGUUGAUUAUUUAAAAUACGAAUUUCCAGAUUCAAAAGAAGUUAAUUUUCUUUCGUGGAUGUGUUAUCACGUUCCGGUUGUUUUCUUAUUCGUUUUACUUAUAUAUCUAUAUCUAUCGAAAUAUGUCUUAAAAUAUAAACGAAUUUCUAAAAAUGAAGACAUAAGGAAAAUAAUAAUUGCCAAAUAUAAAGAACUGGGUCCGAUAUCGUUUCACGAAGUUGCCGUUUUGUCAUUAUCCGUUGGAGUUGUUAUAAGUUGUGUUUCAAAAAGUCCAACGUUUAUUUCCGGUUGGCAAGAUCUGUUGAAUAGUCUUUACAGUGAAGGAAAAAGACUUGAAGUGAAUUUUGUCACUCCUGCAAUCUUCUUUUCUCUGUUUCUCUUUUUGAUUCCUGCUAAACCGAAACUGAAGAAGAGUCCUCCUUUACUUACCUGGAAAAAAGCACAAAAACACAUGAAUUGGGACGUUUUGUUUAUAUUUGGUGGCUCUUUCACUCUUGCGGAAGGCUUGAAGGAUUCGGGAGUUAUUAAGCUUUUGGGCGAUCAACUUAAGAUUCUGUCUAACUUUCCAACUGAUUUGGUCAUGAUAAUCAUCUGUUUACUAGCGAUAAUAUUCACCCAACUGAUUACAAAUGCAGCAGUGAAUACAUCUUUCUUGCCAAUUAUUAAAAGCAAUAGCUCUUAAGGUAAAUCCGCUAUAUCUCAUGAUUCCGUUUACCAUAUCGUGUUCAUUUUCCUUUUCGUUGCCUAUGAGUACUCCAUCUAAUGUUGUUGUUUACAAUGCAUCAGGAAUAAAAACCAUCGAAAUGGCAAAGCCGGGAAUUAUUGUGACGAUAAUAUGCCUGAUAAUAGAAUUGUUAAUGGUUAUAAGUUGGGGAAAAUUUAUAUUUAAUUAUACAGCCUUUCCAGAUUGGGCUGUUAAUACGGAUUAUAGAGAUUAAUAAAGACUGU
rnacentral:misc_RNA from 1 species